AUCGCGGUGCCAAACAUUGCGAGCGGCAUACGCAGACGCCACGUUUCGCGCCUCCUUUGUGCUUUUGUAGCGUAGUUCCGUGUUCGCGAAGCCGUGUGCCUAGGAUGCACCAAACGUGAAACUGACGGCAAGCCACUCUUCUGGAUUCGAACACGUAACUACGCUACAAAAGCACAAAGGAGGCGCCAAGCGUUGGCGUCGUUCCACCGCGCCGCGUCUGCGAAGCGAGACGCGGCGGAAGGUCUGGCUUCAAAGAAUCGGCUGGGUUGAUUUCAACCCAACGCAAUGGUCCCGGCUAUGUGAGGUUCUGUUGCCGUUUUGCGCGUGGUGAGGCCACAGAACGCCUACGAUGUCUUCAGAGCAGAACCAGCAAGGCAUGAACUUUACCACCAAGCUACCCGAGACUCAUCCUGUAGUCACUGUGUCACAAGCCACUAUACCUCCAGUCACAACUGCCGCAGCUGUGGCAUCUUCAACCGCCAUGCCUUUGGUUGUCACCACAGCUGCUACCAUAACUUCGGUUUACAUGCCUCUGCCGGACAUGCCUACUGGGCCUGCACUUUCAACAUGUGUGCUGCCUCCUGGCAUCUUCUCGGCUGGCAUGCCUACUGUCAGUAUAGCUUCAGCCAGCACACCACCUACCAGCAUAUCUCCAGUUUCCAUGCCACAUCUCGGAGUGCCACUGGCUGGUACACCUUCCGAUGGCAUGGCUUUACCACCCACGGGCAUGGCUCCACCAUCUGCGGGCAUGUCUCAACCUCCCGCUGACAUGGCUCCCCCACUUUCUGCUGGCAUGGCUCCACCACCCGCGGGCAUGUCUCCACCUCCCGCUGACAUGGCUUCCCCACUUUCUGCGGACAUGGCUCCACAAUCUGCGAGCAUGUCUCCACCUUCCGCUGGCAUGGCCACCCUUCCCACCAUCAAGGCUUCUCCACCCACUGGCAUGGCUCCACUGCUUUCUGGUAUGGCUCCACCUUCUGAUGUGGCUCCACGUCCCACUGGUAUGGGCCCUGAACCUUCUGGCACGGCUCCACCUCCUGCUGACACGGCUCCCCCACCAGCUGGCAUGGCUCCACUGCUUUCUUGUAUGGCUCGACCUUCUGAUGUGGCUCCACGUCCCACUGGUAUGGGUCCUGAACCUUCUGACACGGCUCCACCUCCUGCUGACACGGCUCCCCCACCUGCUGGCAUGGCUCCACCGCUUUCUGGUAUGGCUCCACCUUCUGAUGUGGCUCCACGUCCCACUGGUAUGGGUCCUGAACCUUCUGGCACGGCUCCACCUCCUGCUGACACGGCUCCCCCACCUGCUGGCAUGGCUACACCGCUUUCUGGUAUGGCUCCACCUUCUGAUGUGGCUCCACGUCCCUCUGGUAUGGGUCCUGAACCUUCUGGCACGGCUCCACCUCCUGCUGACACGGCUCCCCCACCUGCUGGCAUGGCUCUACCUCCUGCCGGCACUCCUCCCGCCCUUACGGUGAAAGCUCUACACCCCACUAGUGCGGCUACAGCUCCCGCAGCCACUUCAAUGGCCCUCACGGCAAUGUCUCCUGCUGCCAUGGCUCCUGCAGCUGCACCUCCUGGUGGCAUGGAAUCACAUGGCAUGCACCCAACUACGUUGCCUCCAGACAAUCUGAGUCAAGCCGGCACGACUCCACCAGCUCUGCCACCAGUUACUGUACCUCCAGCUGUCCUUCCUGAAGGCGACACUUUUUGCAUAUACCUUUCAGUGGUGUUCAAUCCAUCGGAAUUCUAUGGCCACAUAGUGGAGAAAGCAUACCCUACAGUCAAGGUCCUAGAAGAGCUUAAUAAAAAGCUGAACACAUGCGGCACCGAGAGUGAGGCGCCAACGGACGAAACGGUGAACAAGGGUUCCUUCUGGAUCUGCCUCUUUGAGGGCGACAAAAACUGGUAUCGAGCUCAGGUGCUUAAAGUUCUUCCAGGACGCACUUGUCGGCGUUUCAGGGUCCUCUAUAUAGACUAUGGUAACCGAAGCACUGUGCUUUGCUCCUCUCUGCGACCACUGCCUCCCGAGCUUGCAAGCCUUCCAGCCUGUGCCCAUCGCAUGUCUCUGGCAUUCGUGUGCCCCAGGGAGGGCUGCAGGUGGGAUCAUUCUGCUACUAGAGUUUUUGUCAAGGAGACUGGCUUCGAUGUUUCUCUUGUUGCUGAGAAGAAAGGUCACAGGCACUCUGGACACUCCAUUGCUGCAAGACACUGUCCCUAUGUGAUGCCUAAAGUCUUUGAUGGGUUGUGGCCCCUGAUACACCUUCUGACCACAAAAACUGGAUCACUUGUUGUUCCUCUUUGGUGCAAACUUCUAAUGGAGUGGCCAUGAUCUAUGUGCAACAAAAGCAAACCUAAUGGAGAAAUUAGGCUCAAACUUUCAUAGCAUGACCACGACGGCAUAACAGUAGAGUUAUGAAGACAUCAUGGAAGUGGUGCUGUGGAAGAGAAAUGGUCCAACAGCAGUGAACAUCAAUGCUUUGCUUGUUGAGCAAGACGUUGCCCUGCUGAAGGCUGCAGAAUAAAUGGGGAAGUUUGUGCAAUGGU